AUGUACACCACCGCGACGACAAUCAAACAUGGCAACCACACACCACGACUUGCACGGUCAAACGGCUUGAUUCCUCAACCCUGGCAUGCAUGCAUGCACGCACGCACAUGGCGUCUCACUUCUCGGGUGUAUAUAAGCAAGGGAAAUCGUGCUAGGUUUACUCACACAGCCACAAGAUCGACACAAUAUAGUACGUCGUCUGCAGUUACACGCACGAAAGGAACGUACGUCGUAGAUCGGUCGAAGAGGCUUGUUGAGAUGGAGAUGCCGAGGGUCUCUGAGGAAACUGUGGCCGCCGUCGUGCCCAUCGCCGUGUACUGGGCAUACGCCGGCGUGCACACGGCGCUGGGGCAGUCGCGGCUCAUGGACAAGUACAGGCUCAACACCAAGGACGAGGAGGACCGCAAGAACAUGGUGUCCAAGCGCGCCGUCAUCCUCAACGUCCUCAUGCAGCACCUCAUGCAGCUCGCCGCCCUCGCCGUGCUCGCCAUGGUUACAGGAGGAAGAGGGGCGACGGCGAAGGCCGCUGGCGGCUCACCGGCGGCGGUGUACCUGACGGCGGCCGCCCGGAUCGCGGUGGCCGUGCUGGUGUUCGACGCGUACCGGUACGCGUGGCACCGCCUGGCGCACAUCAACCGGUUCAUUUACCGGCACCUCCACUCGUGGCACCACCGCAUCGUGGUGCCCUACGCGUUCGGCGCCAUCUACGGCCACCCGAUCGAGGUCCUCAUCGCCGACACGGCCGGGGCCUCGCUCGCCGUCCUCGUCACCGGCCUGUCGCCGUCGUCGCCGCGCGCCACGGCCGUGUUCCUCACCCUCUGCACCGUGAAGGCCAUCGACAACCACUGCGGCGUGUGCCUGCUGCCGCGCCGCCUGCAGUCGGUCUGGAACGGCGCCGCGUACCACGGCGUGCACCACAUGCCGCGCGGCGUCCGGUACAACUUCUCCGACCUCUUCUUCGUGACGUGGGACCAUGUGUUCGGGACCCACAUGCCCUACGCCGUCGAGGAGAGGCCGGGCGGCGAUGGCCUCGUGCUCAAGCCCCUGCCGCCUCCCAAGGCAACUAAUUAG
rnacentral:rRNA from 1 species